CAGAAAGUAGUUUAAGUUAGAAUGCCAGCUUUGGGUGUUGGUGGUGGAGUUAGGUACUUUCUUUCUGAC
ensembl:Mt_tRNA